UACGUAGGUGGCAAGCGUUGUCCGGAAUUACUGGGCGUAAAGCGUGCGCAGGCGGUUCGCAAAGUCUGAUGUGAAAGCCCCGGGCUCAACCUGGGAACUGCAUUGGAAACUAACGGGCUCGAGUGUGGCAGAGGGGGGUGGAAUUCCACGUGUAGCAGUGAAAUGCGUAGAGAUGUGGAGGAACACCGAUGGCGAAGGCAGCCCCCUGGGCUAACACUGACGCUCAGGCACGAAAGCGUGGGGAUCAAACAGG
rnacentral:rRNA from 1 species